CACAAAAGGAGGGAGUAGGGGAGACGCUCAACUUUCUCCCACCUUCCAGAGCUGUGGGGAGCUUGCAGAAGAGAUUGGGGGCUCCCACUGCCUGUCCCCACCAACCCACCCCUUUGGCUCAUUCUCUCUUGGUUUGCCUAUUGGUUGUAGAGUUGGAGGUUGGCGCGACUCUGCUGCUCUCCACGGGAAGGAAGCACUCCCCCAUAUUAAAAAGAGCGGAGAUAUUAAAAGAGAGGCGAACCCAUGCCCAGCUGCACCGCGUCCACCAUG
rnacentral:other from 1 species